rnacentral:rRNA from 1 species
UACGUAGGAUGCAAGCGUUGUUCGGAAUUACUGGGCGUAAAGAGUACGUAGGCGGUUUGAUAAGUCUGCUAUUAAAGACCGGGGCUCAACUCCGGGAGUGUAGUGGAAACUGUCAGACUAGAGGACAAUAGAGGAAGUCGGAAUUCUCAGUGUAGCGGUGAAAUGCGUAGAUAUUGGGAAGAACACCAGUGGCGAAAGCGGACUUCUGGGUUGUUACUGACGCUGAGGUACGAAAGCGUGGGGAGCAAACGGG